CCUACGGGUGGCAGCAGUGGGGAAUAUUGCACAAUGGGGUAAACCCUGAUGCAGCGACGCCGCGUGAGUGAAGCAGUAAUUCGUUAUGUAAAGUUCUAUCAGCAGGGAAGAAAAUGACGGUACCUGAGUAAGAAGCCCCGGCUAACUCCGUGCCAGCAGCCGCGGUCAUACGUAGGGGGCAAGCGGUAUCCGGCUUUACUGGGUGUAAAGGGAGCGUAGACGGUAGUGCAGGUCUGAAGUGAAAGGCCGGGGCUCAACCCCCGGACUGCUUUUGAAACUGUACGGCUGGAUUGCAGGAGAGGUAAGUGGAAUUCCUAGUGUAGCGGUGAAAUGCGUAGAUAUUAGGAGGAACACCAGUGGCGAAGGCGGCUUACUGGACUGUAACUGACGUUGAGGCUCGAAAGCGUGGGGAGCAAACAGGAUUAGAUACCCGAGUAGUC
rnacentral:rRNA from 1 species